CAGUCGUACCUGCGGAUAAUCAGCUUUUUGAGUGUGAUUAUGUGGUUUAUGAGGAGUUUAACCGCCUUCAUGUAUUGCAUAUUUGUGCUCUUGGGUGUACUUGUCCGUGUGGUGGGUUAACAUCAAUUUCGGUCGUCAUAAAAUGACUGGAGGAAUGUAGCUUUGGUCUCGUAUCGAAGUGUUAUAGACUCUGGUAGAUGUGACGGUUGGGAUUGAGGAUUGCAACGGAUACCCGUUCGGGGCUACCUGUCUGGUCUCUGAUCGUUGCUCGUGGUGGCGAAAGCUUGCUUACGG
rnacentral:rRNA from 1 species